UACGUAGGGUGCGAGCGUUGUCCGGAAUUACUGGGCGUAAAGAGCUCGUAGGUGGUUUGUCGCGUUGUUCGUGAAAACUCACAGCUUAACUGUGGGCGUGCGGGCGAUACGGGCAGACUGGAGUACUGCAGGGGAGACUGGAAUUCCUGGUGUAGCGGUGGAAUGCGCAGAUAUCAGGAGGAACACCGGUGGCGAAGGCGGGGCUCUGGGCAGUAACUGACGCUGAGGCGCGAAAGCCAGGGGAGCGAACGGG
rnacentral:rRNA from 1 species